rnacentral:rRNA from 1 species
CAGUAGCCGCGGGAAUACGGAGGGUGCAAGCGUUAAUCGGAAUUACUGGGCGUAAAGCGUGCGUAGGCGGUUCGUUAAGUCUGUUGUGUAAGCCCCGGGCUCAACCUGGGAAUGGCAAUGGAUACUGGCGAGCUAGAGUGUGUCAGAGGAUGGUGGAAUUCCCGGUGUAGCGGUGAAAUGCGUAGAGAUCGGGAGGAACAUCAGUGGCGAAGGCGGCCAUCUGGGACAACACUGACGCUGAGGCACGAAAGCGUGGGGAGCAAACAGGAUUAGAUACCCGCGUAGUCCAUGUCUCUUAUAA